rnacentral:lncRNA from 1 species
CUUUAACUCAACAAUAAUUUCUUCAUGUGUAAGAUUUCAAAACCGACUACAAAUUGUAGACCAAAUUUUGCAAGGAUUCUGCUCUCAACUUUAAUUAAAAGUCUUCCAAACAAUAACUACUUUUUAUUAUUUGCAAUAGAAGUUCUCUAACUCUUGACUUUUGAGGCAAUUACCUAACAAUCUCCACCUUGUCGAAAACGAGUCAAAAUAUUGUCAUCUCUUCUACAACUUUUAAUCACAAUACUUGAAAAAAAUAGGUAAGCCUUUGACACACUUUAACAGUCUCAUACUCCAUCAUAUGAGUAUAACCACUUAGAAUUAUCCAUGAACUCCGAGCAUUACAUCGGCUACAUGUCGAAACAACCCUGCUGAUAGUUAUGGUGCAACUCUCCCACUGACUUUUACAGGGAGUUCAUCAGCCAUCAACAUCAUAAUACCACCACAUACCUACACAUCUUGCAUCAAAUGUCAGUCAAUGCUAUGUGCAGAUAUGCUGACUCGUCCCAGUAAGAACACAUCAUCUACCAUGGCAACUGUCAACAUGCUAUAAGGACGUUCCCAUCUUAUUUUAUAGCACCACAUCCACGUCCUCCUCCUCUAGGAGAGACGCAUUGUCCGAGCCCAAGCAGUUUGUCGACCCUUGUAUAUCUUUUGGACAAUCUCUCUUUACGUGACCAGUCUGACCAUAGUUCCAACAAGUUACUUUCUUUCUCAUGGAGUUGCCGUUCUCACCUUUUCAGUCAAAAGCACCGGAUUGUCAAAUGGAGUAUUCUGUCUCCCUAAUCUUCUUUCUUCUAAGAUCAAGUUGCUUGUUACUUCUACGAAACUCACACUUUCCUUCCCAUACAUCAAGAUUGGCUUGAUAUGUUCAUAGGUAGACUGAAGAGACCAGAUGAGCCGAAGUGCCUUAUCCUCAUCAUCUAUCUUCACUCCAAUAGCCUCCAGUUCUGAAACAAUCCCGUUGAGUACACUCAAAUGAUCCGAGAUUUUCGUACCUGCCUCCAUGCGCAAUGAAUGAAAUUGCUCAUUCGGGUACAAUCGAUUUGAGAGUUUCCUCAUUUGAUAUAGUUCUUCUAGCUUCUCCCAUAGUUCCUUUGCAGCAGAUAUUCCAUGAAUAUUUGCAAGAACGUUUUUAGCUAGACAGAGACGUAUCAUGCUUGCAGCCUUCAAAUCCAAUUCUUCCCAAUCAUCAUCGCUCAUACUUGAUUUAGCUUGUUUGCCAGAAUUCUUGGUUGGUUUUCCUUUCAAAGACUUGUGCAGUCCAGCUUGAAUCAAUAAAUCCCUAGCUUGUACUCGUCACAAGCCAAAAUUGAUUCUCCCGUCAAAUUUCUCUACGUCAUAUUUCAAUGAUGACAUAUUUUCCAGUUGCUCCAAUACUCCAAACCACUUGACGCUCUAGUACCACUUGUUGGGAAAUUUUACGUCAAUUUCCUUUAUCUCUAUUUACCCACAAGAUUUUUUGUUCUUCAAAAGAAUAUUAGCAAACAAGAAAAAUAAAGAAUAUAACAUACAAAUUAAACGGAUCGUCAAAACUUUUUACUAUAUGAAAAAUUGUUACAAUUAUAUGAAAUUUCACUCACCAACCCAAUCCCCAAGUAUUACAAAGAAAAAAAUAAACUUAAGUUUUACCGCAUCUACUUUUCUACCCAAUGUACAAAAAGUCUCAAAAUGCUAGGCUUACAAUAUUUUUUU